rnacentral:rRNA from 1 species
UACGGGGGGAGCAAGCGUUGUUCGGAUUUACUGGGCGUAAAGGGCGCGUAGGCGGCCACCGCAAGUCGACUGUGAAAUCUCCGGGCUUAACCCGGAAAGGUCAGCCGAUACUGCGGGGCUAGAGUGCAGAAGGGGCAACUGGAAUUCUCGGUGUAGCGGUGAAAUGCGUAGAUAUCGAGAGGAACACCUGCGGCGAAGGCGGGUUGCUGGGCUGAUACUGACGCUGAGGCGCGAAAGCCAGGGGAGCGAACGGGAUUGAGAAACCCGGAGUAG